rnacentral:rRNA from 1 species
GACGAACGCUGGCGGCGUGCAUAACACAUGCAAGUCGAACGGAAAGGCCCUGCUUUUGUGGGGUGCUCGAGUGGCGAACGGGUGAGUAACACGUGAGUAACCUGCCCUUGACUUUGGGAUAACUUCAGGAAACUGGGGCUAAUACCGGAUAGGAGCUCCUGCUGCAUGGUGGGGGUUGGAAAGUUUCGGCGGUUGGGGAUGGACUCGCGGCUUAUCAGCUUGUUGGUGGGGUAGUGGCUUACCAAGGCUUUGACGGGUAGCCGGCCUGAGAGGGUGACCGGCCACAUUGGGACUGAGAUACGGCCCAGACUCCUACGGGAGGCAGCAGUGGGGAAUAUUGCACAAUGGGCGGAAGCCUGAUGCAGCAACGCCGCGUGCGGGAUGACGGCCUUCGGGCUGUAAACCGCUUUCGCCUGUGACGAAGCGUGAGUGACGGUAAUGGGUAAAGAAGCACCCGCUAACUACGUG